GAAGGGAGAAAAAAGAUUUAGCAGAGUAAAAAGACAAAAAGAAAAGAAUAGUAGCUGGCGGUCUUCUACCCCCCUAGAGGGGCAUGCGAGGAAAAUGAAUCUGCACAAAAAACCAGUUGCAUUCUUGAGAUAGAAAAGACAUUUUGCACACCACUGUCUGAAAAGGAAUGGGAUUAGUUCUUUUAAUCUUUAAAGAUAAGAAUAAGGCAAGCAAACGUGUAGACUAUGAAUGUGCAUUCGUGUGCUCCAAUCUUACUGAUUGAUCACUCUUUUGAAAGAGAAAGGAAAUAAAGAAUUUAUAAGUAA
rnacentral:rRNA from 1 species